rnacentral:lncRNA from 1 species
CCCAUCUAAGCAUUCUCUCUCCCACAGAUGGCAGCUCAGAUCCGUGAGGUAGAACAGAGUCGGCAGGAAGUGGUCCGAUCUGUCUUAGAGGUUGGUUUCCCUCGGAGGACCCAGAGCAGUAUCCAAAUCCACUGGUGCCUGGCUUCCCCCAUCCAGCAUUUCAAGUCAGCUCUUCUCAGAGAACCAAUGGGGUCCACUGGGGGCAGGCCCAGAGAUGUGGGCAGGGCUGGGAGUUGGCAAAAUGGGCAGUACCUUCCAUGAGAUACUGGAGUCUGGAGUGUGGGCCAUGGCCUGGGCAGGCUCUUAAGCACUUUAGACACAUUUAUUUUUCCUGAAUCAAACUCAGCCUCAGGCAGAGUCAGAUCCAGAAGAGGGUUCUUCGGCACCUGAAAGUUGGAAAGCUGCCAAUGGGUAAGUCCUCAGGGAG